rnacentral:rRNA from 1 species
AGUGAACGCUGGCGGUAGGCCUAACACAUGCAAGUCGAACGGCAGCACAGGAGAGCUUGCUCUCUGGGUGGCGAGUGGCGGACGGGUGAGGGAUACAUCGGAAUCUACUCUGUCGUGGGGGAUAACGUAGGGAAACUUACGCUAAUACCGCAUACGACCUACGGGUGAAAGCAGGGGACCUUCGGGCCUUGCGCGAAUGAAUGAGCCGAUGUCGGAUUAGCUAGUUGGCGGGGUAAAGGCCCACCAAGGCGACGAUCCGUAGCUGGUCUGAGAGGAAGAUCAACCACACUGGAACUGAGACACGGUCCAGACUCCUACAGGAAGCAGCAGUGGAGAAUAUUGGACAAGGGGCGCGAGCCUGAUCCAGCCAUACCGCGUGGGUGAAGAAGGCCUUCGGGUUGUAAAGCCCUUUUGUAGGGAAAGAAAUCCAGCUGGCUAAUACCCGGUUGGGAUGACGGUACCCAAAGAAUAAGCACCGGCUAACUUCGUGCCAGCCGCCGCAGUAA